rnacentral:rRNA from 1 species
CUACGGGUGGCUGCAGUCAAGAAUCUUUUGCAAUGCGCGAAAGCGUGACAAAGCGAGCCAGAGUGCUUUUCCAUAUUUGGAAAAGCUUUUGUCUACUGUAAAAAAGUAGGCGAAUAAGGACUGGGCAAGACCGGUGCCAGCCGCCGCGGUAAUACCGGCAGUUCGAGUCGCAACCACAUUUAUUGGGUCUAAAACAUCCGUAGCUUGUUAUGUAAGUCUCUUGUGAAAUCCUAUGUCUCAAGCAUAGGGCGUGCAGGAGAUACUGCAUAACUAGAGACCGGAGGAUGUGAGGAGUACGGUAGAGGUAAUGGUAAUAUAUGUUAAUCUUUACUGGACUAACAAUAGCGAAGGCACCUCACAAAUACGGGUCUGACAGUGAGGGAUGAAGGCUAGGGUCGCAAAACGGAUUAGAUACCCCCGUAGUC